CCAUAACUGCCCCUGGAUUUACGUUUACCGUGAGGAGGAUGAGGCAAUGGCGACGGUGGCCGAGGCGCCGGCAAACCGUCGACUUCCGCAACCAGGACAGGGGCGAUCUACCGGACAGUCGUUCGCUCCUCCUCCAAGCGACCGCGAUCCUGCCGUCGGCCAUCCUGCAAGCGGCGUUGGCCUGGAGGUCGUCUUCAUCAGCCACACCAUCCAGGACUGGAGACACUGUUGUGAAGAUGUCAGCACCACCUGUCCCCAUCAAAUCCGUACAAGCUCGCCCCAUCUCCUCUCAGAUCUCGUCAGCCUCUCCAUUCUCGGUGCCUGAUCAAGCACCAAUGUGAUGUUGUUCAUUCCUUGUUGGAUACUCAUAGAUAUGCGUUGAGCUGAGCUCAAUUAAUGUAAAGCCCACCCUUUCUAACCGAGCUUUGUUGUAGCCAUCUUCUUAUGAUCAUACAAAAUAGUUAAGCAGCAUGUCGUUUCUUUUGUAUCUUCAUGCGCAGAUUUUUAACAGGCGGAGUAUUGUUGCUUCGAGUGUGUCUCCGGUUCAAUGUCACAUGACACCAUCGCUCCGCCAGGCCGGUAUGAGGGAGCGCCAUGGGAGAACCUAGCCCGUAGCCUAACCAUGGCGGCGGCCGGCAGGGGAGCUUGUCCCGGCGAUCCAGCAUCCCGGCGUGGAGGCGCCUCCGGCGAGCACCCUGACCCACGUGAGAAGACCGCAGUGGAAGCGUCUUGUCUGGUCGAGCAGCCAUGGUUCUGAUUGUUCAUGUUGAUUUUGAGUUGGGGUAGCAGGGGAAUUCACACUGUAGUGGAGUGAAAUUCAGAAGGACAUAGCAGAGGAUGUCCUGGAAGAAUACCAAAAAGGUUGCGGCCGAGAGACAAAGUUGGGAACAUAGGAUGUCUGGAUGCUGAUGCAGAGGCUUCUCAUUCUGUUCAUUUGUGUUGUGUCGUUCCUUGCCAGAAUUCUAUACAUGUGUAUGGUAGCUAAUUCUGCUGGCUGAAUUCUAACCAUGUCUAUCCGCACAUGCUUUCUAUGUCGGAAGUGGCAUGUGAACUUCUGUGAGCAUAUUCCUUUUAAUUGGUUGAGAAAAUUGUACUUUGCGUUAAACUAGGUUUGUUUCUGAAUUUGACUCUAUUGAUGAGCUCCAUGAUCUAUCAUAAAGUGUUGCCAGAA